rnacentral:rRNA from 1 species
UACAGAGGGGGCAAGCGUUGUUCGGAAUUACUGGGCGUAAAGGGCGCGUAGGUGGCCUGUUAAGUCGAACGUGAAAUCCCCGGGCUCAACCCGGGAACUGCGUCCGAUACUGGCUGGCUUGAAUCCGGGAGAGGGAUGCGGAAUUCCAGGUGUAGCGGUGAAAUGCGUAGAUAUCUGGAGGAACGCCGGUGGCGAAGGCGGCAUCCUGGACCGGUAUUGACGCUGAGGCGCGAAAGCCAGGGGAGCAAACGGG